AGAAAAGUCAAUAUAUGAGUCCAAAAUCUAAUAGUAGCCCAAUGGUCAUAACACUAGGUUAUCACAAUUUGUCUGAUGGCUUUAAUACUCAUUCAAUUUAUUUAAUAAUAUUGUUUAUUAUUUUCAGAGAUUCCAAUGCAUCGUUUCCCAGAUGCUGUCAAAUUUCCUGAGCAGUUUAAAACUUGGGUCAGUAUUGUUGGUGGAAACCCUGAAAUAUCUCAUUUUGAAUAUUAUAAGAAGAAGUGAAUUUGUGAUAUACACUUUUCUGACAGACACAGAAAUCGUAAUCAACGGCUAAGCACAUUGGCAGUUCCUAUGCUUCAUCUGCCUGGACAACUACAGAGUCAAGUAAUCUUAGGACAAGCUUCAUUCACACAACAUUUACUGCCUACAAUAAUACAGCAAGACUGUUCAGAGCCAUAUGUGAGCAACUUUAUUUUAGAAAAAGCAUCAACUUCAACAACAUUCCUACCUGUAGCUGCAGAUGCAUCUCAACAAUUUAUUUCAGCAAGGUGCUUGAUGCUGGAACAUAAUUAUAGUUUUAUUAACAAGCCUAAAGGAACAGCUGGAAAGGAUCUAAUGGCUCCACAGUGCACAAAGAUCAAGCAUCUUCAAGCAGAAAUAUUGCGCUUGCAAAA